rnacentral:rRNA from 1 species
GACGAACGCUGGCGGCGUGCCUAAUACAUGCAAGUCGAACGCAGUGGGGACGGGGGAGUAGCACGUGGGUAACCUCCCAUCAGAGGGGAUAACACUUGGAAACAGGUGCUAACCUGAUACUGGUGGAUGGACCCGCGGUGCAUUAGCUAGUUGGUGGGGUAACGGCGCACCAAGGCCGCGAUGCAUAGCCGACCUGAGAGGGUGAUCGGCCACACUGGGACUGAGACACGGCCCAGACUCCUACGGGAGGCAGCAGUGGGGAAUCUUCGGCAAUGGACGAAAGUCUGACCCAGCCACGCCGCGUGAAUGAAGAAGGUUUUCGGGUCGUAAAGCUCUGUUGUUGGAGAAGCGGUAUCUAAAGAGAAAGCCACGGCUAACUACGUGCCAGCAGCCGCGGUAAUAC